rnacentral:tRNA from 1 species
GAGGGUAUGGCUCAAGUGGUAGAGUGCAUGCUUAGCAUGCAUGAAGUCCUGGAUUCAAUGCCCAGUACCUUCU